rnacentral:tRNA from 1 species
ACCAGGAUGGCCGAGUGGUUAAGGCGUUGGACUUAAGUUCCAAUGUACGAAUGUACGCGUAAGUUCGAACCCCACUCCUGGUA